UACGAAGGGGGCAAGCGUUGUUCGGAAUUACUGGGCGUAAAGCGCGUGUAGGCGGCUUUGCAAGUCGGGCGUGAAAUCCCAUGGCUCAACCAUGGAAGUGCACUCGAAACUGCAGAGCUAGAGUCCUGGAGAGGAAGGUGGAAUGCUUGGUGUAGAGGUGAAAUUCGUAGAUAUCAAGCGGAACACCGGUGGCGAAGGCGGCCUUCUGGACAGUGACUGACGCUGAGACGCGAAAGCGUGGGGAGCAAACAGG
rnacentral:rRNA from 1 species